ACUCUCCUCCGAUAACGGCUACACCUCCCAUCCUUUUUCUCGGUCGUGUCACCUUCUCCGGAGACCCCCUCGCAGGUAUCACUCUCCACCCACUUCUCUGUCCCCCAAAGAAGCGAGCAGCCCACCAGUGCAAGUGACAGUGGCCCCUCCCAAAGCAGCGAGCAGUCGUAGCCGGAUUUCUCCAGCGCCGGCGACCCCACUCAAGCAACGGCCAAAGCAGUCACUGAUGCCAAUGACUCCCACAACCACCUGCAACACCAGUAACAGUCGAAGAAACAAAUAGCACUUGCCAUCCCCAAUUACCAUCCAGCUAAAUUAGAUCAAGGUGACUUUAGAUGGUCAAGAAAAGAUGUGCCUGCUGAUGUUGUUGAUAUUCCAUCUAAUGCACAACAUUCAGAAGAUACAAUCAUGGAAACAUCGGAAGAGGAGGAUGACUUUGAUGAUACUGAUUGGGAUUAGAUGCAGGCAGAUGAUUAGACAAGGGAGUUUUGAAUUUCUUUUAAAUAUAUGCUUGUCGUUGUUUUUAUUUUUUAUUUUGAGUGAUUGAUAAAUACCUUUGUUUCAAACAUAUUUUAUGAUUAUUCUUGUUUAUAUCUUAUUAAUCAUUUUUCAUUUGUUAUUUCAUUUAGAGUGUUAUUCUAAAAUGCUACAAUUUUGCAGGAUUUUCAAUAUGUGAUUGGAAGAAAUCUAGUGAAUCAUUUAAGAGAGUCGCGGCUUCACUAGUAAGCUUCUGAUGUUACUACAUUUAUUUGCAGAGACUUGAAUAAUCAUGAAUCAAGAAGGGUGUUCAAAAAAAAGCAAGGAAGAGAAGAACUUAAACUACGUUCCACCUGGAUCAGUUGCAUCUUUGCUAAAUCGAAAGGUUUCGAAUCACAAGCACAAGAAGAACUCAAAGUACAUUCCAGCUGUUCAAGUUAUAAAGUCAAAUAAAAAGCAUCACAAGCAGAAGCAGAACUCAAAAUACAUUUCAGCUGGAUCUCAAGUCUUUGGAACAAGCGCGACAAGUGUCUCCAUAUUCUACCUUUCUUGCAACACAAACAGUACAUGAGAAAAUGCAGCAAAUAUUGCUGGAUUCUACCAUUCCUGCAUCACAAGCAGCACAGGAACAAUUGCAACAAGAUUUAGAACUUUCUGCCACUCCUCCAUCGCAUGCAGUUCAGGAACAAACGCACUCAACAAGAUCCACAUGAUUCUACCAAUCUUGAAGCAAAUGACCAAUCUGAGGAACGAGGCAAGAAUAUAUAAAUUUCAACUAUAUGCACUUGAAAUUAUAAUUACUCUUUAACUUAUAAAACUGAUAUUUGUAUUGUCUAGAAUGAAGUGGUGGGGGUGGCUACCUUCCUCUUUCCCACUUCAAUUUUGCUAUUGAUACUUUUCUUUCAUUUCGUGGUUUGGUUGAUCUGUUGCUUUCCCCUCUCUAAUUUAUUUUCUUUUCCUAGAAAAGUUAUUCCUUCUCCAACUUCUUAUUGGAAGUAUUCAUAAUAUUCCUUUUGCAUAAUUAUAAAUACUUUGGUUCUUAUUAUUGCAGGCCCUUCCACUCACGAAAAGAAAACAAGAGGUGGAACACAAAUGCAAAGUGUACAUGGACGAAAUGAGCGCAAACUGAUCAUGCUAAAUGAGUUAGACCAACCCAUUGGUCCUACUGAAGCAAUUGUAAAAGAGUUGUGUAGCUUUCUCAGAACAUUGGCGAGGAAUGGGACCUUUUGCCCUCUAAAUGUACUUCAUUGGAAGAAAUUGAAGACACAUGAUGAUAUGUAGAAAUAUACCAAGGAGAAAUAUGACAUUCCUGAAGUUGCAAAAGAAUGGGCUUUGGAUUCAAUUCAAUCAGCUUGGAGAACUUAUAAGAAUUAGUUGAAGAAGAAACACUACUAUGCCUACGCCAAUGAUGAACUUCGAAUGGCAAAAAGGCCUAAAAAUAUUUUAGAAUGUCAAUUUAAGGUUCUUCUUGAAUAUUGGAACACCGAGACACAUUUCAGGUAAGUUAUAAAUCAUGGACAACUUUUUUUUCCUGUAAAUUAGCGUAGUAUUCACAUCUGAAAGAAACAAGAAGGAUUUUAAAGACUCAACCAGUGCUAACAAAAAGCAAAAGAUAUCUGAUUUAUUCCCUUCAUAUUUAUAUUUUUGGUUCACAUUGUUUCACUAACUCAUUUAUUUGCAGGACAUAUCCAAAAAAAAAUAAAAAAUAGAGAAUCGGGUUGAGGUAUCCACACACUGUUGGCAAAACAAAUUUUGAUUUUUUCUCUUAUUGUUCAUUUACUAUGAACUUGUUGAUUUUACUUGGGAAGAUUUUUAUGCUAACUUUUAUGUAACUAGAAAAAAAAAGAAGGAAAUUCCUGAUGCUUUGUCAAGUAAGGAAUUCUUUGUGGCUACUAGAAAAAGGAAACCUGGCCGAGUAUACAAGGACACAGAUGAAGAUACGACAAGCCAAAUAGUACGAGAUUUUCUAAUUCAAAGUUUAUCAAGGUCAUUUUCUUGUUCUUAAAUAUUGGAUCAGUUUAAUUUACUUGAACUCUCUGCUCUUCAAUCUAAUUCGUAGGCUGAAAUAGAGAGAAUAGAAACCCAAGAAAGUGAAGAUGACAGUCAACCAGCUGACGCAUAUGCAUCAGUUAUGGGACCUGAUCAUCCAGGUCGAGUAAGAUUGUAGGGACCUAGGGUUACCAAGACUCUCUUGAAACAGAAAGCAGAAGAUUUUGGAUCCUCUUCAACUAUUACUGAUGAAGUGUAGAAGAAAAUGGAGCAAAUGGAAGAGAGGAUGCAACAAUGUAUGCAGGAAGAAUUCAACGCGCAAAUGGAUACCAUGGAACAAGGUAUUACAAUGAGAGUCAUUGCGCAACUUUAGCGUCUAAACCCAGAAUUACGAGUUCAUCCUAGCAUGCUAAGAUUCAGUGUUCGUUUGCCGGGAGAAGCUUCCUCUACAUCAUAAGCUGCUAUGCAACGAAUCAAUCAUCCAUCUGCUGGUAGUAAUAGUCAAGGUGUUGAAAAUGAAGAAAGGGAAGAAGAAAGCAGUGAAGAACUUGACCUUACCUGAGAAGAUUUUUUAUGAAACUUUAGAUGUUCUAAGAAUCUUUUUGCUAUCGUACAUUUUGAAACUUAUCCUAACUCUUGAAAUGUAAAACUUAACUAAGCAGUUGGGGUUUGAACAUUUUGCUUUUAUGGGUAUUUUGGAUUA